rnacentral:sRNA from 1 species
AUAUAUAUAUGAAAAGAAAAUCUUUAUGUUGAGUCAUGGCAAUAAUAAAUAUUGUUUGACGUUGGUAGAUUGUUUUUUUACCGUCUGAUUUCCUUAUCUUGUGCUCAUCCACCGACUUCUCAAAAACAAGAGGAACCAAAGACUCAUGGAUUUUAAUGGGAGUACGAAUCUGGAGAUUGCGAAUUCCAAAAAGAAAGAAUGUACCCACCGUUAAAUACAUCUUUAUGCAAUUUGUAGCACACAUAGGGAACAAAAGAGAAUACGCUGUCACUAAGUCACAUUGGUUGAUUUUCAUCUUAAAAAGUUUUAUGAGUCUCUAGAUACGCUACAUAUAGGUAAUAAAAGCAUAAAAGUUGCGACUAAAAAUUUGUAAGAUACACCAUAAUCAUCUCUCCAACAAAAGAUGGCAAGAAUAACCACAAUAUGAAGAUAUGAUGAGACACAAUCCAUGGGAUGUACAAGUUGCGCACACUGGCAGGGCCGGAAUAUCUAUUCAUUGAUGUCAAAUAAAUUUUUACAAAAACUGCAAUUUUCUUCUUCAUACACUUGUAGUAUGCAAUUAGUAUAUGGCAUCCACAAAAUACUAAACAUUUAUACCCUAUUUACUUCUGAAAACUGAAAUUUCUAUAAUAGAUUUU